AAAAUAAUGAAAUUUCUCAGUUACACAGAAUCAAGAUCCUCAAAUGCAAUAAUAAACUAAAUGGUGAGGAUUGAAUGUAAUGUGUCCCACAUGCAAACCUAAAUCUUCAGUUAAUAUUUCCAUCAAUAACAGAUGCAGCAAAUUUGAAUUUCUCUUAAUCUGCACACUUCUUUAUUCAUCCAUCCAAACUUCACUCUUGAUGACCUCAUUCCCUCUGUCAGACUUUAUUUGUUCUGGAUUUGCCAUCAAGUUAAAGAUUGGUUCUCACAGAAAUAGGAAGUUGUUAUCGCUUGCAACACUGUGGUUAAUAACUUAUUAAUUUAGAUUGCCAC
rnacentral:lncRNA from 1 species